rnacentral:snRNA from 1 species
AUCGCUUCUCGGCCUUUUGGCUAAGAUCAAGUGUAGUAUCUGUUCUUAUCAGUUUAAUAUCUGAUACGUCCCCUACCCGGGGACCAUAUAUUAAAUUGAUUUUUGGAACUGGGAGAUGGAAAAGGGGUCCACGCAUCGACCUGGUAUUGCAGUACCUCCAGGAACGGUGCACCCCCU